GGGUUAUGUGCCUAUUUCUUAGCAGUGAUUUCCUGGAGUCUCUGCUGGAUACCUGGCAACCUCAAGAAGUGCCUGAAAUUCCCUGGAGCUUCUCUGAUAUCUGCAUCAUCUCGUCGAGCUACAGUGUACAGACAGGCAGCACUGUUGACAUUAAAAACACAUUAAAAAUC